rnacentral:rRNA from 1 species
GUGAACGUUACAAACUGUUGCCUCGGCGGGAUCUCUGCCCCGGGUGCGUCGCAGCCCCGGACCAAGGCGCCCGCCGGAGGACCAACCAAAACUCUUUUGUAUACCCCCUCGCGGGUUUUUAUAUAUCUGAGCCAUCUCGGCGCCUCUCGUAGGCGUUUCGAAAAUGAAUCAAAACUUUCAACAACGGAUCUCUUGGUUCUGGCAUCGAUGAAGAACGCAGCGAAAUGCGAUAAGUAAUGUGAAUUGCAGAAUUCAGUGAAUCAUCGAAUCUUUGAACGCACAUUGCGCCCGCCAGUAUUCUGGCGGGCAUGCCUGUCCGAGCGUCAUUUCAACCCUCGAACCCCUCCGGGGGGUCGGCGUUGGGGAUCGGCCCUUUACGGGGCCGGCCCCGAAAUACAGUGGCGGUCUCGCCGCAGCCUCUCCUGCGCAGUAGUUUGCACACUCGCAUCGGGAGCGCGGCGCGUCCAUUGCCGUAAAACACCCAACUUUCUGAAAUGUUGACCUCGGAUCAGGUAGGAAUACCCGCUGAACUUAAGCAUAUCAAUAAGCGGA